UCGAGCGGUAACAUUUCUAGCUUGCUAGAAGAUGACGAGCGGCGGACGGGUGAGUAAUGCUUGGGAAUAUGCCUUAGGGUGGGGGACAACAGUUGGAAACGACUGCUAAUACCGCAUAACGUCUACGGACCAAAGGGGGCUUCGGCUCUCGCCCUUAGAUUAGCCCAAGUGGGAUUAGCUAGUUGGUGAGGUAAUGGCUCACCAAGGCGACGAUCCCUAGCUGGUUUGAGAGGAUGAUCAGCCACACUGGAACUGAGACACGGUCCAGACUCCUACGGGAGGCAGCAGUGGGGAAUAUUGCACAAUGGGCGCAAGCCUGAUGCAGCCAUGCCGCGUGUGUGAAGAAGGCCUUAGGGUUGUAAAGCACUUUCAGUAAGGAGGAAAGGUUAGUAGUUAAUACCUGCUAGCUGUGACGUUACUUACAGAAGAAGCACCGGCUAACUCCGUGCCAGCAGCCGCGGUAAUACGGAGGGUGCGAGCGUUAAUCGGAAUUACUGGGCGUAAAGCGUACGCAGGCGGUUUGUUAAGCGAGAUGUGAAAGCCCCGGGCUCAACCUGGGAACUGCAUUUCGAACUGGCAAACUAGAGUAUGAUAGAGGGUGGUAGAAUUUCAGGUGUAGCGGUGAAAUGCGUAGAGAUCUGAAGGAAUACCGAUGGCGAAGGCAGCCACCUGGGUCAAUACUGACGCUCAUGUACGAAAGCGUGGGGAGCAAACGGGAUUAGAUACCCCGGUAGUCCACGCCGUAAACGAUGUCUACUAGGAGCUGGGGUCUUCGGACAACUUUUCCAAAGCUAACGCA
rnacentral:rRNA from 1 species